CCUACGGGAGACAGCAGUGAGGAAUAUUGGUCAAUGGACGAGAGUCUGAACCAGCCAAGUAGCGUGAAGGAUGACUGCCCUAUGGGUUGUAAACUUCUUUUAUAUGGGAAUAAAAUGUUCCACGUGUGGGCUUUUGUAUGUACCAUAUGACUAAGGAUCGGCUAACUCCGUGCCAGCAGCCGCGGUAAUACGGAGGAUCCGAGCGUUAUCCGGAUUUAUUGGGUUUAAAGGGAGCGUAGGUGGAUUGUUAAGUCAGUUGUGAAAGUUUGCGGCUCAACCGUAAAAUUGCAGUUGAAACUGGCAGUCUUGAGUACAGUAGAGGUGGGCGGAAUUCGUGGUGUAGCGGUGAAAUGCUUAGAUAUCACGAAGAACUCCGAUUGCGAAGGCAGCUCACUGGACUGCAACUGACACUGAGGCUCGAAAGUGUGGGUAUCAAACAGGAUUAGAUACCCGUGUAGUC
rnacentral:rRNA from 1 species